rnacentral:rRNA from 1 species
UUCUACGGCCAUGCCACCCUGAACACGCCCGAUCCCGUCUGAUCUUGGAAGCUAAGCAGGGUCGGGCCUGGUUAGUACUUGGAUGGGAGAUCACCUAAGAAGACCAGGUGCUGUAGGCA